AUUGAACGCUGGCGGCAGGCUUAACACAUGCAAGUCGAGCGAGCGGCGGACGGGUGAUUAAUGUAUGGGAAACUGCCUGAUGGAGGGGGAUAACUACUGGAAACCGUAGCUAAUACCGCAUACCAUCAGAUGUGCCCAGAUGGGAUUAGCUAGUAGGUGGGGUAAUGGCUCACCAAGGCGACGAUCCCUAUCUGGUCUGCGAGGAUGACCAGCCACACUGGAACUGAGACACGUUCCAGACUCCUACGGGAGGCAGCAGUGGGGAAUAUUGCGCAAUGGGCGAAAUUCUGACAUAGCCAGGCCGCGUGAGUGAAGAAGGCCUUCGGGUUGUAAAGCACUUUUAGCGAGGAGGCGUUACUCGCACAAGAAGAGCCGGCUAGCUCCGUGCCAGCCGCCGCGGUAAUUC
rnacentral:rRNA from 1 species